rnacentral:rRNA from 1 species
UACGGAGGGUGCAAACGUUGCUCGGAAUCAUUGGGCGUAAAGCGCACGUAGGCGGCGCGUUAAGUCGGGUGUGAAAGCCCUGGGCUCAACCCAGGAAGUGCAUUCGAAACUGGCGCGCUUGAAUAUGGAAGAGGGUCGCGGAAUUCCCGGUGUAGAGGUGAAAUUCGUAGAUAUCGGGAGGAACACCAGUGGCGAAGGCGGCGACCUGGGCCAAUAUUGACGCUGAGGUGCGAAAGCUAGGGGAGCAAACAGG